rnacentral:rRNA from 1 species
CAGUCGCCGCGGUAAUACAGAGGGUGCGAGCGUUAAUCGGAUUUACUGGGCGUAAAGCGUGCGUAGGCGGCUUCUUAAGUAGGAUGUGAAAUCCCUGAGCUUAACUUAGGAAUUGCAUUCGAUACUGGGAAGCUAGAGUAUGGGAGAGGAUGGUAGAAUUCCAGGUGUAGCGGUGAAAUGCGUAGAGAUCUGGAGGAAUACCGAUGGCGAAGGCAGCCAUCUGGCCUAAUACUGACGCUGAGGUACGAAAGCAUGGGGAGCAAACAGGAUUAGAUACCCCUGUAGUCCCUGUCUCUUAUAC